ensembl:snoRNA Gm54847 predicted gene, 24297
AUCAGGAUUGUCAAUGGUAUAUUCCUUUCAGAACUGAAUCUAUGUAAUUUAGCAAAAAUUUACCCCAGCCACUGAGACAGCGAG